rnacentral:rRNA from 1 species
GACGAACGCUGGCGGCGUGCUUAACACAUGCAAGUCGAACGAAGAGCGAUGGAAGCUUGCUUCUAUCACUCUUAGUGGCGAACGGGUGAGUAACGCGUAAUCAACCUGCCCUUCAGAGGGGGACAACAGUUGGAAACGACUGCUAAUACCGCAUACGAUCUAAUCUCGGCAUCGAGGAUAGAUGAAAGGUGGCCUCUACAUGUAAGCUAUCACUGAAGGCGGGGAUUGCGUCUGAUUAGCUAGUUGGAGGGGUAACGGCCCACCAAGGCGAUGAUCAGUAGCCGGUCUGAGAGGAUGAACGGCCACAUUGGGACUGAGACACGGCCCAGACUCCUACGGGAGGCAGCAGUGGGGAAUCUUCCGCAAUGGACGAAAGUCUGACGGAGCAACGCCGCGUGAGCGAUGACGGCCUUCGGGUUGUAAAGCUCGGUUAAUCGGGACGAAAGGCCUUCUUGCGAAUAGUGAGAAGGAUUGACGGUACCGGAAGAGAAAGCCACGGCUAACUACGUG